rnacentral:rRNA from 1 species
CUGUCCUACGGGGCGCAGCAGUAGGGAAUUUUCGUCAAUGGGCGCAAGCCUGAACGAGCAAUGCCGCGUGAACGAGGAAGGUCUUCGGAUCGUAAAGUUCUGUUGAAGGGGAAAAAGAGCGGAGAGAGGAAAUGGUCUCCGAUUGAUAUUACCCUUCGAGGAAGUCACGGCUAACUACGUGCCAGCAGCCGCGGUAAUACGUAGGUGGCGAGCGUUAUCCGGAAUGAUUGGGCGUAAAGGGAGCGUAGACGGCAGCACAAGUCUGGAGUGAAAUCCCGGGGCUUAACCCCGGAACUGCUUUGGAA